AUCAGCUGCUGCUGCAGCUGUGAAGGCUGCAGAGGCUGCUAGGGCAGCAGCUGAAGAGAAGGCUGCAAUUGCAGCAAGGGCUGUUACAGCUGCAAAGAGUGCCAUGGACUUGGUUGCCUCGAUUUCUGAAGAAGCAGCCUAUAAAGAAAUAAACCUGAGAAAGAGCAAGCUGAAGAAACAUGUCCCAGUUCAGUUUCUGUACACAAAAUAUCAACCUCUUGAGAAUACUAAGACAGAUGAAGAG
rnacentral:misc_RNA from 1 species